UCAGAGAAGGCGAAAGCGCCGCCCAACCUAGAGUGCUUACCCCUUUGGAGUUCUCUGAUUUUCCCUGCUAGCCGCCCCUGAGCUUCUGCCGGUCGCAACAUGUCACGUAUAGCGUCCUAGUGGUCGCGCCGCCCCGUCAAUCCUUAUUUUAGGAAGACGACCAAAUUCAUGGGAGCUUACUCCAUGGGCUCCGUCACCGGAGUGGGAGCCGUUCCAGUUGUUUCCGGACGCGCGACCGUGACCUAGGGUCAGCAUCUCCACCGGAACUUCAGUCUGUGGUUGCGAUUGCUAAGUUAAAAGCACCUCGUUGUUAUUUCUCAUUUGCAUGUUGCUUUACAACUGGAGUCCUCUUGCAGGUGGGAGAGAAAGUGUCCUAUCCGUUUCCUGCCAGCAUUUCCUCCUCCCUGGCACCAAGCUCUUUCCUAGGGAUCUGGAGGUGAAUGCAUGAAGAAGGCGCUGCCUGACUCAGCUGGAUCUUAAGCGCAGGGAAAGGGACCUGUUUUUCCAUUCUUAGGCUGAAAAGAAAUGGGAGCAUUGACUCUGCAAACAGACUUGGUGGUAGCCUCAGGAAUCCCAGCAAGAAAAUCCCAAGAAGAUCAAUCCUGCUCUAAAUCCAUGGGUGCUGAGCCACAACCAGACAAGUUUCAGGAAUGCAGUUAGUCAAAUAUCUUCCAAUGACUCAGCUCACAGGAGCCCUGGUUCAUAGAAAGAGCACUAGGCCUGGAGUUGGCAGAUUUGCACCUGAACAUGGUCUCUGAUACCUCCUACCUAUGUGGCCUUGGAUCAUUUUGACAUCCGUUUCAUAGCUGCUUCAAUUCCAUAUGAUGAAGGAGUUAGACCUCUUGAAAGAGAUUGGUUUUGAAGGAGGGAAAGGAAUGCCUGAAAAGAAUGAAGAGGAUACUCAGCGACAAGCAGUGGCCCAAGCACAGAUGAUGGUACCAGCGAUAAUGCAAACCCAAGCUGGAUGAUCCAGUAAAGGAGGAAACCCCACUGUGAUCUGAUGUAACUUUCACAAUGGCCCUUAUGAAAUUGACACCAUUAUCUUCAUUUUUACGAAUGAGGAACUGAAGUUCAGAGCUUGUAAGUGAGGGAGUUGGAGUUGGAAUCCAGACCGGUUUGACUCCAUAAUAAUCCCGUUUCUUCGUGAUUCCUGGGGCAAGCAUGCUGGAUUGUUGACCUCUGUUCGAGACACUCAUUUUCUCUCUAAAUCUAAGGGACUCUUUUGUUACCUUCAUUUUGGAUUUUUAAGACCUCAUACUCUUUGACCAUUUCCCCAACUGGUUGAGAUCACUCUGACUUCUGUUAAUUUUUUUCUUAAGUAGGCUGUUCGCCCAAUAUGGGAGUCAAACUCACAAUCCAAGAUGGAGUUCCAGGUUCUACUGACUGAGCCAGCCAGGCACCCCUCUACUAUUGAUCUUUUGAAGAGGUUAGCAACUCCACCAAAUUUGGCGCAUAUACAGAGGUAGAAGCAGGCCUGUCUUUCAAGCCUCAGCUCAGUCCAGAACAACAUAUUUUGGAGAUCCAAUUAGAGCCACUCAAAUGCUUUGAAAGCUGGCUAUUGCUUAGAAAUGGGAAUGUCAAGUUACCUUCACCCUAACAAUAAGCUCAUUACAAGGCACUUCAGAGAGAUUCAGGCAUUAAAGACUUUGCUUUGAUAACUUUGAAAAGGCAGGAAAAAGUAACAAAAUUAGUUAUAAAGGGAAUUUCCCCCCUCAAAUCAGAAACCAAACAUUGUGGGAAACUCUUAUAGAUUGAAAGACAUAUAUACAAAUAUAUUUUUAUAUGAGUAAUAACAUGUGUAUUAACAAAGUAGCCUUACUUCAACCCCACUGUCUCUAUUUGGGAGGAAAUUAGUUGCUUAAAGAUAAUCUUAAAAAUACUCAUUCAGGAAAGGGUACUACCCUUUUAAUUCUCAAGCGAUGCUCUUGACAUGCCUGUUGGCUUUCUAUAACUGGGUUUGGAUUGGCCCACCCUCACUCUCUCACCAGUCUCUCUUGAUACAGCUAGCACCCUAAGGAUGCUGGGGAUGUAUAGCCAAAGAAGCAAGAAGGUAUCCUGUUACAUUUUAAAAAAUAUAUAACUUGUGUUCUUAGUUUCUGCAAAAUGACAACAUCAUUCCGUUGUGGUUCUAGCUAAUAUGAUGACAUUCAACCCCUACUCUUGCCUUAUGCCUGGUUGCUCCAAACAAAAAAGAUUACAUUCACUUAUGUUUACAGGUUUCUAAAACCACUUCAAGAUACUGCCGGUGUGGAGGGGUAUGUGUGUGUGUGUGUGUGUGUGUGUGUGUGUGCGUGUGUGUGAUCAUCUUUCUGCAUAUAUUCACUCCACAAGUAUUUUUGAGCACGUAUCAAGUGCCAAACACUGCAAGAGAUGCUUGGGAUGUGGGAGAACCAGAAACACAAGGCAAAGAUUCCUGCCCUUAUGGAGCUGUAGUCUAGUGGGGAAGCAUUAGGAAUACUGACAAUUAAAAAUAAUGGAAAUGCAUGAUGUAUCAGGGGAACCCGAAGGAUCAUCUGCAAACCGUAAAAGGGAGGAAAGGGAUUGAGUGGGCAGCCAGCUUGUGGGGAGGGUGUGAGGUUGGGAGGCGGGUCACUGGUAAGUAGGGUGGUCGGUGGAGGUCUCACUGGGCGUGACUUCAGCCAAGACCUGAAAGAUGUGAGGUCUUCAACCAAGCAGAUGUCUAGGGAAGAACAUUCUAGGCAGAGAGAACUGCAUAGAGCAACGGCCUUAUGUGCUUGCAUAUUAAGGAAAUAGCAAGGAACCCAGAGUAAUUGAAGAUGAAGCUGGGGGAAAAUGGAGGAAGCGUGGCUUUCUAUUUGCUGAUCAUAAGUAUGAUCGUCCAACUAUUUAUAACGCUCAUACCCAAGAUAAUUUACCCUUUAGAGAGAUUUAUGUUUGACAUGUAAAUAUGGACACAAUAUAGUCAAGUAGGAAUAAAAGCAGAUAAUAAAACAGUAUUUGUAUAUAUGAUUCUUUUAAACUUAAAAAAAAAAAAAAAGAGCGACCUAGGCAUGGCUUUCACUUUCUACUUUACACAGUUCAAAAAAUCUAUCCCUUCACUAGCAUCUUUGGAUUGCGGGCUUCUUGAAAACAGGAGCUGGCCACACAGCAAGUAGCAUAAUGCCCCUGUUGAUGGGGAUGCUGGUGAGUAAGCCCUCAAUAUAUACAAGCUUUGAAUUAAUGCAUGUAUAAUUGUGCCUGUUUCUUGUUGAAUAUGGGUUUUUCUAUCUCAUUCUUGACAUACUUCCUACAAACCUGUGCCUUUCUUUGAAUUCCUUUGUAAUGUUUUGGAACUGCCUUGUUGGACUUUCCCAUUCACGGUCCUAGAUAUGUAGGGCACAAGGUUUAACCAAACAACCUGGCUUCUUACAUCUCCCUUCCUGAUCAGAAAUACAGACCGUCCUCUGGAGCUUCCAUUGGGGAUCUUUCUUCCCACCGAAUUCUUUCCACUAGCUGUCCCACUUACUGAAUGGCUAAAAUGUUUUCCAUCAUCCCUAGAUCAUCUUGAUAUCCAGUUUCAUACCUGCUUCAAUUCUCUCUGAUGACGGCCAUAAGGGUGGUUUAAGAUUCCUAUCCAGAAGCAUACAUACCUCUUAGAUUCUUACUCCCAAGAACUAUUUUCCAGAUGUCUUUCUGGUGGGAAACUCAGCUUCUACCAAGCAGUUCCUGCUUUAAAAUAGCUUUGGUGAGGGGUGCCUGGGUGGCUCAGUCUGUUAAGUGUCUGCCUUCAGCUCAGGUCAUGAUCUCAGGGUCCUGGGACGGAGCCCUGUGUUGGGCUCUCUG